rnacentral:lncRNA from 1 species
CUGACUUCGCCGUGAACUCCCUGGUCUACAUCAUGAUUCGGAUGGAAAAACAGUGCUAAAACUGUGACAAGCAAAUCCUGAGCGGCUGCUAGGCAGAGAAGUUUCAUCCGCUGAGAGAGAUCUCCGGAGAAGUYGCCUUAUCUUUUGGCUGCGGGCUCUGCUGCUGCUCUGCAAACACACAGCGCAGAAURCUGAUGUGCUGCCUCCCCUACACCUGCUGCGUCGGCCUUCAUUUGUACACCGGGCCAUUUCAUAGACCGGUAGGUUGUACUGGCUGUCCAAAAGGGCCCUUCUAGCUCCUGAACGCUCCAGGACCAGCAUAUCCGCAGUUACCGUGCCUGCCCCAGUCCUACCUACUGCUCUCAGCAGGGGAUUARCGCAAGAGCUUUGCGAGCCCCAUUCAGUCACAAUAUUUUC